UACGGAGGGGGCUAGCGUUGUUCGGAAUUACUGGGCGUAAAGCGCACGUAGGCGGCUUUGCAAGUUAGAGGUGAAAGCCCGGGGCUCAACUCCGGAAUUGCCUUUAAAACUGCAUCGCUAGAGUUGUGGAGAGGUAAGUGGAAUUCCGAGUGUAGAGGUGAAAUUCGUAGAUAUUCGGAAGAACACCAGUGGCGAAGGCGACUUACUGGACACAUACUGACGCUGAGAUGCGAAAGCGUGGGGAGCAAACAGG
rnacentral:rRNA from 1 species